UAGAAGAUAGUGUAGAGGGUGCACGGAGAGUUUUGAUCUCUUAAGAAUAGAUUCAAAUUCUAUUUUUCUAA
rnacentral:tRNA from 1 species